rnacentral:rRNA from 1 species
AACGCGAAGAACCUUACCAGGGCUUGACAUCCCGAGAAUCUUUCCGAAAGGAGAGAGUGCCGAAAGGAAUUCGGUGACAGGUGCUGCAUGGCCGUCGUCAGCUCGUGUCGUGAGAUGUUUGGUUAAGUCCAUCAACGAGCGCAACCCUUAUAGUUAGUUGAAUUUUCUAGCUAGACUGCCCUGGUAACAGGGAGGAAGGGGGGAUGAUGUCAGGUCAGUAUUGCCCUUACGUCCUGGGCUACAAACACGCUACAAUGGCCGGUACAAAGGGCUGCCAAGUCGCGAGACGGAGCAAAUCCCAUCAAAGCCGGUCUCAGUUCGGAUAGUAGGCUGAAACUCGCCUGCUUGAAGCUGGAAUCGCUAGUAACGGUGAGUCAGCACAUCACCGUGAAUACGUUCCCGGCCUUGUACACACCGUAGUAC